UGGGGAAUAUUGCGCAAUGGGGGAAACCCUGACGCAGCGACGCCGUGUGAGGGAAGAAGGCUUUCGGGUCGUAAACCUCUGUCAGGAAGGAAGAACCUCUCAAGGCUGAACAAGCCUUGGGACUGACGGUACUUCCAGAGGAAGCACCGGCUAACUCCGUGCCAGCAGCCGCGGUAAUACGGAGGGUGCAAGCGUUAAUCGGAAUUACUGGGCGUAAAGCGUGCGUAGGCGGUCUGUUAAGUCUGCUGUGAAAUCCCCGGGCUCAACCUGGGAAUGGCAGUGGAAACUGGCGGGCUAGAGUACGGUAGAGGAUGGUGGAAUUCCCGGUGUAGCGGUGAAAUGCGUAGAGAUCGGGAGGAACACCAGUGGCGAAGGCGGCCAUCUGGACCAGUACUGACGCUGAGGCACGAAAGCGUGGGGAGCAAACA
rnacentral:rRNA from 1 species